CAGAGUUACUACUCCAAACCCAUUGUGAACCUUACCUAUGUUCUGUUGCCUCGGCGGGGCGGUCAGCGCCCCCCCUCUGAGAAGAGGGGAAACGAUGCCCCCCCGCCGGCAGCACCAAACUCUUGAAUUUUAUAGCGGAUUACAACCUCUGAUUGGAAAACAAAAAACAAAUCA
rnacentral:misc_RNA from 1 species